rnacentral:rRNA from 1 species
CAAGUCUGAACCAGCCAUGCCGCGUGAAGGAUGAAGGUCCUCUGGAUUGUAAACUUCUUUUAUCUGGGACGAAAACGGGAUUUUUAUCUCAAUUGACGGUACCAGAGGAAUAAGCACCGGCUAACUCCGUGCCAGCAGCCGCGGUAAUACGGAGGGUGCGAGCGUUAUCCGGAUUUACUGGGUUUAAAGGGUGCGUAGGUGGGCUUAUAAGUCAGUGGUGAAAUCUCCGAGCUUAACUUGGAAACUGCCGUUGAUACUAUAGGUCUUGAAUUAUCUGGAGGUAAGCGGAAUAUGUCAUGUAGCGGUGAAAUGCUUAGAUAUGACAUAGAACACCAAUUGCGAA